GAUGAACGUUGGCGGUGUGCCUAAUACAUGCAAGUCGAACGGAGACUGUAGCAAUACUGUCUUAGUGGCGAACGGGUGAGUAACGCGUUGGUGAUCUGCCUCGAAGUGUGGAAUAACCUCCCGAAAGGGAAGCUAAUACCGCAUAGUCUCUCAAGGUUUAGAAAAUUGAGAGUAAAGGAUUUAUUCGCUUCGAGAGGAGCCUGCGUCCCAUCAGCUAGUUGGUAGGGUAACGGCCUACCAAGGCAAUGACGGGUAGGGGACCUGAGAGGGUGGCCCCCCACAAUGGAACUGAAACACGGUCCAUACACCUACGGGUGGCAGCAGUAGGGAAUAUUAGAAAUGGGCGGAAGCCUGAUCUAGCAACACCGCGUGUGCGAUGAAGGCCUUCGGGUCGUAAAGCACUUUUUGGAGGGAAUAGGAAGGAAGGUACCUCCAGAAUAAGUCUCGGCUAACUACGUGCCAGCAGCCGCGGUAACACGUAGGUGGCAAACGUUAUCCGGAUUCACUGGGCGUAAAGCGCGUGCAGGUGGUUUCGUAAGUAGGGCGUGAAAGCUCCCGGCUCAACUGGGAGAGGCCGUACUAAACUGCGGAGCUAGAGGAUGGUAGAGGGAAGGUGGGAAUUCCAGGUGUAGUGG
rnacentral:rRNA from 1 species